rnacentral:rRNA from 1 species
ACGCUAAAGCUCGAAGGUGCGGGUAUCGAACAGGAUUAGAUACCCUGGUAGUCCGCACGGUAAACGAUGGAUGCCCGCUGUUUGCGAUAUACUGUGAGCGGCCAAGAGAAAUCGUUAAGCAUCCCACCUGGGGAGUACGCCGGCAACGGUGAAACUCAAAGGAAUUGACGGGGGCCCGCACAAGCGGAGGAACAUGUGGUUUAAUUCGAUGAUACGCGAGGAACCUUACCCGGGCUUGAACUGCAGAGGAAGGAUCUGGAGACAGUGACGCCCUUCGGGGCCUCUGUGGAGGUGCUGCAUGGUUGUCGUCAGCUCGUGCCGUGAGGUGUCGGCUUAAGUGCCAUAACGAGCGCAACCCCUUUCAUUAGUUGCCAUCACUUCGGGUGGGCACUCUGGUGAUACUGCCACCGUAAGGUGCGAGGAAGGUGGGGAUGACGUCAAAUCAGCACGGCCCUUACGUCCGGGGCUACACACGUGUUACAAUGGGUGAUACAGAGGGCAGGUGCAUGGCAAUGUGCAUCAAAUCUUGAAAGUCAUCCUCAGUUCGGAUUGGGGUCUGCAACCCGACCCCAUGAAGCUGGAUUCGCUAGUAAUCGCGCAU